rnacentral:lncRNA from 1 species
CACUGAUGGAGCUCCUGCACUGGUGGGCAGAUUUUCUACCACUUGAGCCACCUGGGAAGCCCAAACAAGAGUACCAAAGCCAAAAUAAGGAGAAUGGCAGGGAUGCACAGCAUGGAAAGAAUGAAAAUAUACUCAGCCCUUGAUCACCAAGCCAUCUUUGGGAUUGCCUAGGUCUAUUUUCCUUCAUCAUCUCUUAGCCAGAAAGCCAGAAUUAAAGACUCUCUAAGUCUUUCCAGCAGUCAAAAGCAGGUAGGUCAUCUUGGGAGAAGGAAGAGGAGAUAUACAUACAAAUUAGAUA